ACUAAUAUGAAAUUACAUGAAUCUUAUAUUAUUAAUAGUUAUUUACUUUAAAAUAAAAAAAUUUGGCAGUAAUUUAAUCUUAUUAGAGGAAUCUGUUUAAUAAUCGAUACAACACGUUUUAUCUUUCUUAUUUUUAUGGUUUGUAUACCGUCAUUAAGAUGAUUUUAAUAAAAAAUUAUUGAAAUAAAAAUAUUUUAAUAAAUUAGAUCAAGGUGCAGCGAAUAAAUAAGUUAAAAUGGAUUACAAUAAUUUUUAAUUAGUUGGAUAAGUUUUAGAAAUUUAAAGCUUGGAAAAUGGAUUUAAUAGUAUAUUUAAUAUAAUAUAUUAUAUAGAAAAAAGCUCUAAAUUAUGU
rnacentral:rRNA from 1 species